GCAACCAGCAGCCCUCAGGGCUGCUUUGGCUAGAAGUAGCCAUUCUUUAUUCCUUUACUUUUCUAGUAAACUUGCUUUCACUUUAUUCCAUGGACUAGCCUCGAAUUCUUUCUUGUGUGAGAUCCAAAAACCCUCUCUUGGGGUCUGGAUCAGGACCUCUUUCUGGUAAUAUCUUUCUGGAGACCAUGAAGGGACGAUACUGAGGAGACCCUCAACUCCAAGGAAAUAGACUGCAGCACCAAUUGGAAGACUUUGAAAUCCUACAGAAUAGCCCAAUUUCUUUCUGCAAGAAAAAGCCUAUUCCUGCCACUCUCCUACCUAAGAAGAGUUUGGGUGUCUGAGCUGGGCUUGGUGGCAGAAUCCCAGAUGCUUCACCUGGGCCAAACACAGCACAAGGAGAUCUCGGUGAUGAAGGGAAGACAGCUCUUAAAUAACCAAUGGCAUACCAGGAAUAUGCUUGUUGCUUCCUAUGUUAAUGAAAAUUGCAAAAUGUUAAUGUGCAAAAUUGAGAGGAUAUGUUCCGUACAUUACAGAUGUAAUAAAAUAUGAAUAGGUAACAGCUACUGUGUACGAUGAACCUAUGAAUGUAGCCUGUUCCUCAAACUUACUUGAUCACACUUAAAAAAAUAAACUAUAAUGAUAUAAGGCAAUUGUUCACUUAUUUUUAUACUUUCUCUUGGAAUGACACUUCAUGAAACAAUUCCACACCCACUCAUUUAUUUUAUGCUUAUAGAAG
rnacentral:lncRNA from 10 species